GGCAUAUAGCUCAGUUGGUAGAGUGCUUGUCUCACAUGCAUAAGGCCCUGGGUUCAUUCCCCAGUACCA
rnacentral:tRNA from 1 species